rnacentral:rRNA from 1 species
GACGAACGCUGGCGGCGUGCUUAACACAUGCAAGUCGAACGGAAAGGCCCUGCUUUUGUGGGGUGCUCGAGUGGCGAACGGGUGAGUAACACGUGAGUAACCUGCCCUUGACUUUGGGAUAACUUCAGGAAACUGGGGCUAAUACCGGAUAGGAGCUCCUGCUGCAUGGUGGGGGUUGGAAAGUUUCGGCGGUUGGGGAUGGACUCGCGGCUUAUCAGCUUGUUGGUGGGGUAGUGGCUUACCAAGGCUUUGACGGGUAGCCGGCCUGAGAGGGUGACCGGCCACAUUGGGACUGGGAUACGGCCCAGAAUCCUACGGGAGGCAGCAGUGGGGAAUAUUGCACAAUGGGCGGAAGCCUGAUGCAGCAACGCCGCGUGCGGGAUGACGGCCUUCGGGUUGUAAACCGCUUUCGCCUGUGACGAAGCGUGAGAGACGGUAAUGGGUAAAGAAGCACCGGCUAACUACGUG